AGAGUUUGAUUCUGGCUCAGGACGAACGCUGGCGGCGUGCUUAACACAUGCAAGUCGAGCGAUGAAGUUUCUUCGGAAAUGGAUUAGCGGCGAACGGGUGAGGAACACGUGAAGAAUCUGCCCUCCACUUUGGGAUAACACAGGGAAACCUGUGCUAAUACCGAAUAUUGAAACAUAAGUGGUAUCACUGAGUUUUGAAAGAAUUUCGGUGGAGGAUGACUUCGCGGCCUAUCAGCUAGUUGGUGAGGUAAUGGCUCACCAAGGCAACGACGGGUAGCCGGCCUGAGAGGGCGACCGGCCACACUGGGACUGAGACACGGCCCAGACUCCUACGGGAGGCAGCAGUGGGGAAUAUUGGGCAAUGGAGGAAACUCUGACCCAGCGACGCCGCGUGCGGGAUGAAGGCCUUCGGGUUGUAAACCGCUUUCAGUAGGGAAGAAGCGAAAGUGACGGUACCUACAAAAGAAGCACCGGCUAACUAUGUGCCAGCAGCCGCGGUAAUACAUAGGGUGCAAGCGUUGUCCGGAAUUAUUGGGCGUAAAGAGCUCGUAGGUUGUUUGUUACGUCGGAUGUGAAAACCUGAGGCUCAACCUCAGGCCUGCAUUCGAUACGGGCAAACUAGAGUUUGGUAGGGGAGACUGGAAUUCCUGGUGUAGCGGUGGAAUGCGCAGAUAUCAGGAGGAACACCAAUGGCGAAGGCAGGUCUCUGGGCCAAUACUGACACUGAGGAGCGAAAGUCUGGGGAGCGAACAGGAUUAGAUACCCUGGUAGUCCAGACCGUAAACGGUGGGCACUAGUUGUGGGGACCUUCCACGGUCUCUGCGACGCAGCUAACGCAUUAAGUGCCCCGCCUGGGGAGUACGAUCGCAAGAUUAAAACUCAAAGGAAUUGACGGAAUCGAUUCCC
rnacentral:rRNA from 1 species